ensembl:lncRNA
GCCGUGAGGCGCGCGGUCAGCCGGCUUCGGGUGCCCGGCCCUAUGGCAGCCACGGAAAGCUCCCGCGUGGUUCUCAGAAACAGUUUCCCUCUGCGCUGGGAGCAGUUUGAUGAAGAUUUUUAAGUGAAAAAAAAAGAAAAAAAGAAGAAGCGUAUUUUGAGUGGCUUACCAAGGCUGAAGGCGUCCAGGUUCCCAAAGGGUUCCAGGUGUCGGUACCUGAGAACGGCUGGUUUAAUGCUGCGCCGUGUCGAGCUAAAAGCAGUGGGAGGAUGUUGAGACGCCUAUCGCAUGUAAUCAGAAGUAAUUACACUCUACAGAUACCAGCCACAACGAUUCUUGCUGUACAGAGAUGCGUUACAUCUUUUUGUGCUGAGAGAAUUUUAGUGUGGUAGGGAAAAUAUUCCAUCACAGAACUGCAGCCACGACAAAAUGAAGGCAGAAUGUGUGUUUUUACACACAGAAUAUGCAGAACAGCAGGUAUGCAGGGACUGUGUGUUGGUUUACCUACGCAAUACUUCUGUUCCUUUGUCUACAUCCAACUGAGGUGACGUUUUUUCUCUUGCUUUAAACUUUUCCUAAGCAUUAUGUGGCCAACAGGGUGAAUUUGCACGAAUCCGUAUUCCAAAACUUGGAUCCUACUGAAAUUGAAAUCUGUGAAGUGUUCCAAUUGCUGCAGAGUAAGUGGGCUCUGACUCCUAAUACAACUGCUUAGAUAGAGCUCUCACUGCUGAGCCAGCAACGCAGGCUGUCCAUACAAGGUGCUCAUUACCUCAUGCUUUUGGUGUCAGCCAAGCUUCUGCCUCUAAUUUUUCCAAACAUCUAAAAUUUGUACUGAUGAAACACAGGAAAAGAAAGAAAGAAAGAAAGGAAAAAAAAAAAAACCAGCAACAACCAACCAAGAGGUUCACAGAGAUAAAUGACUCUGCUGCAGCUUUGAAGGGCUGUUUUUGUCUGUUUUGUCUUCAUCUUGAACUAUUUAGGGAGGUGCUUUCUUGUGUCUUUUGUCACUUGAAAAUCCCAUUUAGCCUCAGUGGAAUCACAUACAUGGCACUGGGGAAUUAUCCUGUGGUUGAAGACAUUCCCCUUCACCCGGAGCUGAAACCUGCUGUCAUAACAGAGGGAAAGCUAUUUUCACCACUGUCAGAAGAAGCAUCCGGCAUCUGAGAUAACAGCUUUUGAAAGAGCACAGAAACUGUUAUCAGUUUUGUCUUUUUAACACAGGCAGUUUAAAUAACUUUCACCCUCAGUUCAGGGACGCUCGCUGGGGAUUGCUGUUGCCAAGGAUGGCUUAAGGCCUUCAGGUGGACAGAGAAGACACGGUGUGCAAACAGAAAAAGUUGAGCCAGCAUUUUCCAGCUGAAUGUGAUAAAAAUAAAACAGAGGCAGCAAAAUGCAAAAAAUCCUCACUGAAGGCAAAAAACAACCCGGCCUCAUUCAACAGCAAACAGCACAACUAAACAUUCAAGUCAGAUCACAGAUCUGAUGUGAACUCUUUGCACAGAGUGGAGGAUUUCUUCCAGCUCAGAGGGAAUCUGUUUCAAAAUCAGUUUUUCGGUACAACAGGACAUAAGCAACUUCCAUUAAAGGACAGACAGCCUUCACUGAAGCUACUUAGAGGAAGCUGCUCUGCAAGAAAAAGAAGAUCCUGUGAGCACUCAAGGUCAACGCUCAAUGAGGCACAACUGGAGACAGAAGGCAGUUCCAUGAAGCACAGCUCCUGCUUUUUCCCUGCUGUUCUUGGUCCAGCAACUGAUGACAACGAAUCAGCUUCUAGCUCCUUGACUGCAGACGUGCGAUCCUCCUUACCCUGCUGGCAGGAGACUUUUGCAACCCCCUGAUGCUUUUGGGAGUUUCAAGGUCCUGUCAGCUGGAGCAGUGAAUGCCCGCAUCCCCUGGAAACUGCAGUAGUAUCCUGCUGCCUUAUAAAGGUUGAUAAUUGGAGAUGUAACAUCAUACACUGCAAAGAAUUAAGCAUGAAUGAUUCUAGAUCAUGAAAAAAAUCUGGGCAAGCUUGAAAAGCUCUUCCCCAGGGACAACAUUCCAGCUGGGGCUGAUGGUGCUGUGUGUGUGCACAUAAUGCCAUCCAUCAUGAGCUGCCUGUUUUCCCAACAGUGUGAGUGGGACUCUGGUACAACCCAGAGAGGACGUAGAGGAUGUGGUGAAAGAAACCCCUGACCUUGCUCCCUUCUAUGAAUUUUGAGUCUAGAUAAGACAAUCAUCUUGUUAUACUACUUCUUAGGAGUCUAAUCAUAUUACAGGACAUUGUAUUUCACCUGUUAGCUUCAAGACACCUUGUGAAUGGCUGAACGUGUCAGGAAAAGCUCUCUUGUGCUUCAGAUGUGAAUCAUUGACUGGAUUGUAAAAGGCAAAGGCAAUCAAUCAACUCCAAUCUGAGAGUUGUUGUUCAUGUGGGUAACGUAUCUUGAAGCUUUAAUCAUCUGCGUACCCUUUCGGAAGUAAUUUCUACAAAUAAAUUCCAAAUGUCAGAUAUAUUUCAUCAUUUAGCUUCAGCAUAUGGAAGUAAAAGUUGAAAGAAGCAAUUCACGGUCAUUUCUUACUGGGAAGAAAAUGAAGGGAAAAAUCCUUGCAGAAGAAAGAGAAGAAAAAGGAAGCCGCAGGAAAGUAUUGCGAGCUGAUUUGUGGACACUCCCCCAAAAGGUCAUGGGAGGUAAUGGAAGGAAUGAAACUGGUGAUGGAAAUCAGCAACACAGACAAACAUCCAAAAAAAUACAAUCUUCAAGGGAGCAGCAGGCAAUCAGGCAGGGGUUCUGUGAGAAUCCACAAACCUCAUGUCAGUGCUAAAAUAGGACAGCCAUCAGCUCUGCUCCACAUCACGCCCACGUGCAAAAGAGCCCAGCACCCAGAGCUCCAUCACAACCAGCUGCAGUUUGAGCACACACAGCCUCAGGCUUUGGCAAAAGCGCGUGAAGACCAGGUUUAUUUGGGCAGGGCUGGAUGAUGCUGGCAGAGAAGCAUCCACCCUUCGGUGUGAAAGUGGAAGGAGCUGAACUUUGAACUCUGAGAUAAGCAAAUCUGAACAUGAAAUAAGACAGUGGCAUGUUGGACUUAAGCUGGCCUUUAUAUAAAAACAGUGCACAGAAUGCCUUCUGUUCUUGAUUUUAUGUUCCACAAGUAGACUCUAAGACUCUGCUUUUCCUCCCCACCACUGGAGCUGUAUUAAGGCCCAGCAAUUCGGCAAUCCUGGCUCUUCUGAUCCUGGUAAUUUUAAAUGGUGUUGUGACCCUAAGAACAAAAGCAGUUUCCCUCUCCACUGUAUUUUGGUUGUUCUGGGACACGUUCUGUCCUGUAAUCAAUAGAGUUUAAAAAUAAAUUUACGUUGUGCUUUUCAAACAUAAAAAUAUUUUCCCGAG